CCUGCACUCUGGAUAAGCCUGUGAAACUGGGUCUAAUACCGGAUAGGACCAUGCUUUAGUGUGUGUGGUGGAAAGUUUUUUCGGUGUAGGAUGAGCCCGCGGCCUAUCAGCUUGUUGGUGGGGUAAUGGCCUACCAAGGCGGCGACGGGUAGCCGGACUGAGAGGUUGGUCGGCCACAUUGGGACUGAGAUACGGCCCAG
rnacentral:rRNA from 1 species